CCUGGGGAUGCUAGGUGCUCUUUCUUUAGAGUUGGAACCACAGAGUUACAGAACCUUGGGAGAGAAGGUCAUGUGGACUAACCUCCGUAUCUCAGAACAAAGAAAUGAAGACACAGGGUCUCAUGUGAUCUGUUCAAGCUGAAUAAGGGCUGGAGUUCAAGCUGGGGGCUCUCUUGCCUUCUGGAACCUUUUUCAGCUUAAUGGGAGUUAAUAUCCAAGACUGAAGUUGGAUGGAGAAAGGGACAGGAGGCACUUGCUAACAAGCACCAUAUUAAGCACAUCACAUUUUCUAGUGACCUGUAACACUGAACUUCUGAUACAGUUUUUCUACUGAACAGAAUUUGCUGUUUUAUGAAGUAAACGUUUCUGCUAUUCACGGUGAGCAAAAAUGCUACGAACUGAACUUUGUCACCUGUGACCACCUGAUUCAUGUUUUGAAGCCCUAAUCCCUAGUGUGAUUGUAUCUGGAGAUAGGUUGUUUCAGAAGUAAUUUAGGUUAUGAAGUGAUAACAGUUAGGUCUCAAUCCAACAGGACUGUGGCUUUAUAAGAAGAGACAGACCAGUCUCCAACAUGUGAGGACACAGAAAGGUGGCUGUCUAUGUGCCAAGAAGGGAGCCCUCACCAGAACCUGACCUUGCUGGACGUCAACUUGAGAUUUCUAGAAUCUAGAAUUGCAGAUACGACCUUAAUUACUAAGAACAGAAAAGGAUGAAAUGUCGGAAAGAAAACAUGCUGAAAGUGAAAAGAGGAAAAGCAGCCAAAUAAAAUUUCAUGCCUGAUUCAUCUUUACAAAGGAUAAAAAUGUCUCAUUCAGUAUCAUGGCUUAAAAUUCCCAUGAAACGAUGUAAACACCACUCCGGUCUCUGCAGCAGCGUUUUGGUGCAGAAAGCUUGUAUUAGGGAUUUCCAGAGAAAUAAAACCAAGAGAACGUUCAUCCAUCUAUCUGUCGAGAGAGAUUUAUUUUAAGAAACUGAUUCAUGUGAUUAUGGAGGCCGGCAAGUCCUAAGUCUGCAGGAUGGGCCGGCAGCCUGGAGUCUCAGGAAGGCUAACUUGAUGCUUUUGCCUUUACACCUCUGAAUUGAUCACAUUGCCUUCGGGGAAAGAUCAAGCUAUGAAAAGCCUUGCUGUGAAGGGGAGGAUCCCCUCAGACUGUCUACCCUAGGUAUCCACGCCUUGAAGGUGCCACCACUACAACAUGAGAGAGGAUGGCAGAGGACAAUGUUCAAGUACUUGGGUUCUGGACUCAGACUGGUGUGGAUUUGAAUCCUUGCUUUUCCAUUUAUCAGCUGUGUUAUCACUGGACACAUUACUUAGUUACCCUGUGUGUUGUCUGCAAAAAAUUGAGGCUGAGAUGUCUACACUAUAGAGGGUUACUGGGGGGAGUCAAUGUGACAAGCAGACCAUGGAGGAAACACAAUCAAACAUUCUCGUGGGUUUUCCACUGAGACUCAGACAGCUUUGUAGAGAAAGAAUUUUUUUUAAAGUGCAGUACAGGAAAGGGGACUGUACCCAAGAGAUCCAGAAGGACUGUGUGGACUAGCCACACAAAUUCAGCAAUUAUCUCAUAGUUUGUCAGGGGCCAGUGUCUUAUCUAACAGAGGUUUAUUCAUUUAUAUGUUCAUUCAACAAAUACCUGAGCGCUACGACACUCACAACUUCCUGCAUGAUCUAGUUACCCUGGGAGGUACAGAGUCUUAAAUUUGGACAUGUUUCAGAAUGAAAGCAAUGCUAUUAAGAAUUACUCAGGGACAACAGGUGAAAUCAGGACAAAUGGUCACUAUGCUGGGGAAAAUGGCUGGGAUUAGGAGAAAUAGUAAACAGUCACUUUUUAAAGCUUUUUCUUUGUGCCCCCACUCACUUCCCCCUUACUCCAGAGUGACAGUCUAUGAUGAAAGAGGAAGAGCAUUAUAUUGGGUCAAGAAUCAGGACCAAUCACAGUGUGGAGAAAGCCUUGUACUGAACUGUCGUUGCCUCCGCCAUGGCUGAGCCUUCCUCUAAGCCAACCUCUGAGGAAGACCAGAGCACCCAGGAACCCACAGAGGCCAGCCUCUCGACGGCCCAGAGGCAGGAGAAGCGAGGGCACCGAGGGUCCCGGAGGCGCCAUGCCAACCGCGGCGGGGACAGCUUCCGGGACAGCGUCAUUUUAAAACAAAAAACUCACGGUGAUUUACUGAUAUGAAUUCAGAGAUUGUUGUGUACAAGUUUCUUCUGCCUUGUACCAAACUAAGAGAAGGAUUGGCUUGCUAAGAGUUCAAGCAGAUUUAUAAAAUUAUCGUUUGUAGAGGGGACUGUUCAGAAAUCCUUUACUAGGCUUCUGUCUUGGAGCUUACCACAUAGGAUGUUAUCUAAUAGCAAACAUGAGGCUUUCUGUCCUUCUAAAUCGUGAACCGAUUUAUCAGGAGUAGAACAAGUAGUCUGUUAAAGAUACACCUGCCAGCCUGACCUUUGAAAUGACAGUUCAUUCAUGACCUUUAUUUCUUCAGUUUUUCUUAAUAAGCUUUUGUUGUUUUUUCCUGCAACUGACUUUUACUUAAAUUCAUUUAAGGCAUGUCUUCGCAUAUAUUAUCACAGGCUAUCUUCCUUUUCUGAGACAGAGUCUCGCUCUAUCGCCAGGCACUAGGCUGGAGUAUAGUGGCGUGAUCUUGGCUGAGUACAACCUCUGCCCCCCGGGUUCAAGCGAUUCUCCUGCCUCAGCCUCCCGCGUGGCUGGGACUACAGAGGUGCGCCACCAGGCCCAGCUAAUUUUUCUUUUGUAUUUUAGUAGAGGUGGGGUUUCCCUAUGUUGGCCAGGAUGGUCUCCAUCUCUUGACCUCGUGAGCUGCCUGCCUCGGCCUCCCAAAGUGCUGGGAUUACAGGCGUGAGCCAUGAAAGCUAUCUUUCUAAAUUGAACGUGGUUUUCAUUUUUGGAAUCUAUUUCUCUUCCUCAGGGAGUUCCGAGGAGAUUUAAGGUGAUAUUUCAUAUCGAAUAUCUCUUAAACUUAUUAGCCAUUUCCAGCUUCUGAGUUGUGAUUUGUGGUUGCUGUUUCGUUUUCCUGUUUUUAUUUUCUUCUUUUUUUUUGGGGGUGGGGUUUAAACCUGGUCAAUGUUGAGUGUGGUUAUAUGUUUUAAAUGAAAGCACCUUUCCGUUUCUAUUCUCGGCUUGGAGGCUGUGGUAUGGCCAUUCCUCGUUCUCCUGAUUCACUGAAGAUGGUGAUCAGAACUGAAGACAGCAGCCAGACCGCCAGGUCCUUUUCUGCCCAGGAGCCCUUGGCAGCCGUAUCGGGGAGUUCCUGCUAAAGCCGGGGUGGCUUAGCCAGGGAUAACAGUAGAUUCUGAGAUGGGUGAGAACCGGUCCACACGUGGACACGGUCGUUCCUCUGGCAUCCGCAUAAUGGCCUUGGGCUCAGGAGGUCUGUCUCCCUUCAUGGAGCAUGAGCUGAAAUUGCUGAGCUUUGGGAGUUUUCAGUGACACCCUUCAAAGUGCGCAGGGUGUGUCAUGUAUCAGCUGAGGAGGGCUGAUGCGCUUUUUCCCGGUGAGGCAUCUGUGUAAGUGCCUCCGACGUAGGCCACAGGGGGCGCCUAGGCCGGCAGACGCACGCUGUGAUUGGUUGACAAGAUGCCAAGCAACGGAACCAUCCAGUCACCUUCGAUGCAGGGAGGUUUGCUGACAGGGUCCCUGUGUGACUUCAUCCACUUGAUCCAAUCAGAUGUCAAGUUGGCCCGUGACGUGGAGCCAUGCUGCGUACCCAAGCGUCCCCGCUUCACAAUCGCCAUUGUCUGUCCCCGGCGACAACCGCCAUUGCCUCUUCUUGCCAUCUAAUGGCCGCUGCCUCCGCCAUGGCUAGAACUUCCUCUGGGGAACAAGUGAUCACCCAGGAGCCCAAAGAGGCCAACUCCACAACGGCCCAGAAGAAGAGCAAGCAGAGGAAGCGAGGGCGCCGAGGGCCCCGCAGGUGCCACGCCAACUGCCGCGGGGACAGCUUCGCCACCUAUUUCCGCCUGGUGCUGAAGCAGGUUCACCAGGGCCUCAGCCUUUCCCGGGAGGCCGUGAGUGUCAUGGAUUCUAUGGUUCACGACAUACUUGACCGCAUCGGCUCCGAGGCUGGUUGCCUGGCCCACUCCGUCAAGCACGUGACCAUCACCGCCUGGGAGAUCCAGAUCGCCGUGCGCCUGCUGCUGCCGGGGGACAUGGGCAGGCUGGCCGAGUCCGAGGGCACGAAGGCUGUUCUCAGAACUUCAGUAUAUGCCCUACAGCAACAGAAAAAGUGAAUACGCUGACAGAAGAACCAAGAAACCUGUCAAGGAUGGUACACUCAGCCAAACCAUGAAAGAAAAGCUGACUGUUGGAAACAUGUUAUGAAAAUAGUUGAAGAAAAAUGCUCACCUCGCCAGGAGACCAAGAAACACCACCACGAAAUCUGCUGCAAUGAAAUCCCUCUGCAGGAGGCCGACAAGUGUUCCUACCUGUCCACACAA